UCACUUCUCUCUCUCUCUCCCUCCUGUCACCACUGGACAUCAUAACCAAACCACUCCCUUUCGCUGUCUAACCAAAUUCCAAUCUUUGAAAGACUAUGCACAGAAUAAGCGACUCCUGUUGGAUACAGCACUACGUAUCACAAAACCAACACCAACAGCAACACCCAAACAAGGAAUUGGAUGAAGACAUUAGGGCAUAGCGAAAUGGAAACACAAAAUCGAAGAUCAGAAUUGAAAAAAGAAGGCAAGAAGCCGCAGAAACAGGCCAUCGCCUGAGCAGAAGCGCGAAGGGCGAAGUUUAUCUCCACCGGCUCUUACGAGAUCGAGGAGAGAGGAAACCCAGAGCGAGAGGAAGGGGAAUAAAUGGUUGUUGCUUUUAACGGAGCCCCAUGUUUCAUUAUAGCCUUUGCAGAAGUGAUAUCAAGAUUCAAGAGUCAAGGUCGCUGUUUCAUUAUAGCCGUUGCAGAAACCGUACCAAUAUCGGUGGUGUAGGGGUUGAGAAGAUGCUCUCCGGUUUGCGUCUCAUCCCGUCCCAUCGAAGAGAACAAGAGUUUAUUAAAUUUUAGUACCUGGGCAAUUUUGGUUCCGAUAAAUGCUUGUGCUCGAACAAAGGUAUAAGGCAAGGACAGCAGCUGCAGUCAAAGUUCUAGAGUUUCAAUUCGAGAGUGAGCCUCUGUCUAUUUAAACUCAAAUAUGUAAUAGUGCCCUGCGGAGGUACUUUCUUUUUCCUCAAUAUUUACUAUUUCCAAAACUGGGUUUUUUCUUAUAGAUGAAUGAACAUGGUUUUUUUGUUUUAUCUCUCUGAUUGAUAGUAUUUGAUGUAUUUGCUUUCUGGGGAUGUUUCCUUCUGCCUUUACUUUGGUACCCAGUUGCGAUUUUCAUCCCAACUUAACUUUUGUUUUUGGUUUCAACUAAAUUUCUGCUUUAUGUAUUUGUUUUUGUUUUCGGUUUCACUUUGGUUCCAUAAAUGGUGGUCUUUCCCAUAAUUGCAGGUUACUUUAGAUUAAAGCAUUGUUUCCUUUAUCAUAAUGUUAUGAUAGUUUUGUCUUGUUUGUAUUUAUGUGUUCUGUAACUGCAGUUUAACUAAUGUUAUGGCUCAUGGGAGCUGGCACUCCUGGCAGGAGUAGAAUCAGCAUAGAGAAAGAACAAGUAUUCUAGUAUCUAGUCCUCCGGUGGUUGACUUCUUUUGUUUUACACAGGUCAUAUUGUGCCUUUUUUAAUUUUCUCUACCUUUUCAAUUGGGUUAACAAAUUCUAAACUGUGACCCUUGAUUCCUAGACCCUAAAUAUUUUCUGUUACAGACUGCAUCAGGAGAUGUGAUACUUUUCAUUUAUAUGCAGUAGUUUUCAAGUGGAACUGGAACAGAUGUUUGGGGAUUGUAUGGAACAUGGCACAAAAUGAAAGGAAUGUGAUCUGAGGCUUUGUUAAAGAAAGUGGGAUUGUACUAGGUGAUGUGUCUGCACAUUGUGAAAAUCAUGACAGGAAUAUGACCUUAAAAUGCAGUCAAUGCACCUAUAGGUGCAGCCUAUGAUCAGUUUGUUCUGGUUCUAUAAUUACAAGAGAUCCACAGACGGGGAAGUUUUUAGAAAUGAGAUGGGGGAAUUAAUGGGUGCUUUCUUAACACCAUAUAAGGAUUUUUUUUCUCCUUUGACAAUGGAGUUUGAUGGCCUGAAAAGUAGGUAUCUGAUUAGCCUUUGAAGUUGGAAUUCUCCAUCUUGAAGUUGAGCUUGAUAGUAGAGUGGCUGGUAGCUUGGUAGUCUCUAAUGAGAUGUGCUGACAGAGUGGGAUGAUAAUAGUGUCGUUCUAAUUUUAUCAGACAUCCCCAAGACUCCAGAGGGAUCUAAAAGUGCUGUUGAAGAAUUGUGGUGCAACCAAGGUCUGCUUCUAACUGAGGGAAUGCAACAAAGUGGUUCAUGUGUUGGCUAGAUUCAUACUGAAGGAAUGUAUUAGUAUCUUUUGUAUUGAAAUUGGGCCGGGCUCAUGUGAUUGAUAAAUAUCAAUGCUAAUAUUUGUAAGUUUGUAACCUUUCCUAUGAUUAA